UCCAGACUCCUACGGGAGGCAGCAGUGGGGGAUAUUGCACAAUGGGGGAAACCCUGAUGCAGCAACGCCGCGUGAGUGAAGAAGUAUUUCGGUAUGUAAAGCUCUAUCAGCAGGGAAGAAGAAAGACGGUACCUGACUAAGAAGCCCCGGCUAACUACGUGCCAGCAGCCGCGGUAAUACGUAGGGGGCAAGCGUUAUCCGGAUUUACUGGGUGUAAAGGGGGCGCAGACGGCAGCGCAAGCCAGGAGUGAAAGCCCGGGGCCCAACCCCGGGACUGCUCUUGGAACUGCGCGGCUGGAGUGCAGGAGGGGCAGGCGGAAUUCCUGGUGUAGCGGUGAAAUGCGUAGAUAUCAGGAGGAACACCGGUGGCGAAGGCGGCCUGCUGGACUGCGACUGCCGUUGAGGCCCGAAAGCGUGGGGAGCAAACAGGAUUAGAUACCCCUGUAAA
rnacentral:rRNA from 1 species